CCGAGUGAGGGCCUCUGGCCCGACCUCCAACCCUUUGUUAUCCACACCAUUGUUGCCUCGGGGGCGACCCGCGCCCGUCGGCGUCGGGGCCCCCGACGGACCAUUUCAAAACUCUGCAUCUUUGCGUCGGGUUUAUAAAGUUUAAUUGAUUA
rnacentral:misc_RNA from 1 species